GAUGAACGCUGGCGGCGUGCCUAAUACAUGCAAGUCGAGCGAACGGACGAGAAGCUUGCUUCUCUGAUGUUAGCGGCGGACGGGUGAGUAACACGUGGAUAACCUACCUAUGAGACUGGGAUAACUUCGGGAAACCGGAGCUAAUACCGGAUAAUAUUUUGAACCGCAUGGUUCAAAAGUGAAAGACGGUCUUGCUGUCACUUAUAGAUGGAUCCGCGCUGCAUUAGCUAGUUGGUAAGGUAACGGCUUACCAAGGCAACGAUGCAUAGCCGACCUGAGAGGGUGAUUGGCCACACUGGAACUGAGACACGGUCCAGACUCCUACGGGAGGCAGCAGUAGGGAAUCUUCCGCAAUGGGCGAAAGCCUGACGGAGCAACGCCGCGUGAGUGAUGAAGGUCUUCGGAUCGUAAAACUCUGUUAUUAGGGAAGAACAUAUGUGUAAGUAACUGUGCACAUCUUGACGGUACCUAAUCAGAAAGCCACGGCUAACUACGUGCCAGCAGCCGCGGUAAUACGUAGGUGGCAAGCGUUAUCCGGAAUUAUUGGGCGUAAAGCGCGCGUAGGCGGUUUUUUAAGUCUGAUGUGAAAGCCCACGGCUCAACCGUGGAGGGUCAUUGGAAACUGGAAAACUUGAGUGCAGAAGAGGAAAGUGGAAUUCCAUGUGUAGCGGUGAAAUGCGCAGAGAUAUGGAGGAACACCAGUGGCGAAGGCGACUUUCUGGUCUGUAACUGACGCCGAUGUGCGAAAGCGUGGGGAUCAAACAGGAUUAGAUACCCUGGUAGUCCACGCCGUAAACGAUGAGUGCUAAGUGUUAGGGGGUUUCCGCCCCUUAGUGCUGCAGCUAACGCAUUAAGCACUCCGCCUGGGGAGUACGACCGCAAGGUUGAAACUCAAAGGAAUUGACGGGGACCCGCACAAGCGGUGGAGCAUGUGGUUUAAUUCGAAGCAACGCGAAGAACCUUACCAAAUCUUGACAUCCUUUGACAACUCUAGAGAUAGAGCCUUCCCCUUCGGGGGACAAAGUGACAGGUGGUGCAUGGUUGUCGUCAGCUCGUGUCGUGAGAUGUUGGGUUAAGUCCCGCAACGAGCGCAACCCUUAAGCUUAGUUGCCAUCAUUAAGUUGGGCACUCUAAGUUGACUGCCGGUGACAAACCGGAGGAAGGUGGGGAUGACGUCAAAUCAUCAUGCCCCUUAUGAUUUGGGCUACACACGUGCUACAAUGGACAAUACAAAGGGCAGCGAAACCGCGAGGUCAAGCAAAUCCCAUAAAGUUGUUCUCAGUUCGGAUUGUAGUCUGCAACUCGACUACAUGAAGCUGGAAUCGCUAGUAAUCGUAGAUCAGCAUGCUACGGUGAAUACGUUCCCGGGUCU
rnacentral:rRNA from 1 species